rnacentral:rRNA from 1 species
UACGUAGGGGGGCAAGCGUUGUCCGGAUUUAUUGGGCGUAAAGAGCGUGUAGGCGGCUAGGUAGGUCCGUUGUGAAAACUCGAGGCUCAACCUCGAGACGUCGAUGGAAACCAUCUAGCUAGAGUCCGGAAGAGGAGAGUGGAAUUCCUGGUGUAGCGGUGAAAUGCGCAGAUAUCAGGAAGAACACCCGUGGCGAAGGCGGCUCUCUGGUACGUGACUGACGCUGAGACGCGAAAGCGUGGGGAGCGAACAGG